GGAGAGGUGCUCGAGUGGUUGAAGAGGCACGCCUGGAAAGCGUGUAAUCGGCAAAACCGAUUCGCAGGUUCGAAUCCUGUUCUCUCCGCAA
rnacentral:tRNA from 1 species